rnacentral:rRNA from 1 species
UACGUAGGGGGCAAGCGUUGUCCGGAAUCAUUGGGCGUAAAGCGCGUGUAGGCGGCCAUCUAAGUCCGCUGUGAAAUCUCGAGGCUCAACUUCGAGCUGUCGGUGGAAACUGUCUGGCUAGAGUCCGGAAGAGGAGAAUGGAAUUCCUGGUGUAGCGGUGAAAUGCGCAGAUAUCAGGAAGAACACCCGUGGCGAAGGCGGUUCUCUGGGACGGUACUGACGCUGAGACGCGAAAGCGUGGGGAGCGAACAGG